CUGGCCCUGGCUGGAGCCAGUGGCUAUUUUUAGCUCAGCUUCAAAUCAAUCAGCAGCUGCAUUUUGGGCUCCUCAGAAGAUGCAAGGUGUUGCAGGGUGCGCUUCUCAGCAAAUGAAAAGACACAAAGAUAGAAAUCUUAAUGCCUGACCCCUUGAAGCGCUGGGCUGAAGAUGGCCUGCUCACUGUGAGUCAGCUGCAUGUCUGCAAUCAACUCUCCUGCUGAAUGUUGGGGCUGCCUAUCCUCUGCUCUGCUCAGGGACCAGCACACUGUGGAUAUACCAUCAGUUCCUCAACAUGCAAAGGCCUGUGUUACAGGGGACAGCCAUGACUGGAGGCCUGGACAUCCGCGGUGGACCCCUGGACGUCCGCGGUGGACCCCUGGACAGACAUCCGCGGUGGACCCCUGGACAGACAUCCGCGGUGGACCCCUGGACAUCCGCGGUGGACCCCUGGACAGACAUCCGCGGUGGA